GGCGGCGUAGCCUAACACAUGCAAGUCGAGCGGUCUGGCAUUUAACAUUGAGUAUUCAGAUGAAUCUGAGUAUUGAAUGUUAAAAUGUCGGAUAGCGGCGGACGGGUGAGGUAACGCGUGGGUAACCUGCCUUAUACAGGGGGAUAACACAGGGAAACUUGUGCUAAUACCGCAGUAAUAUCAUUGUAUGGCAUCAUGUGAUGAUCAAAGGAGCAAUCCGGUAUAAGAUGGACCCGCGUCCAAUUAGCUAGUUGGUGGUGUAACGGACCACCAAGGCGACGAUUGGUAGCCGAACUGAGAGGUUGAUCGGCCACAUUGGGACUGAGACACGGCCCAGACUCCUACGGGAGGCAGCAGUGGGGAAUAUUGCACAAUGGGGGAAACCCUGAUGCAGCAACGCCGCGUGAAGGAUGAAAGGUUUUCGGAUCGUAAACUUCUUUGAUGAGGGACGAAUAAUGACGGUACCUCAAGAACAAGCCACGGCUAACUACGUG
rnacentral:rRNA from 1 species